GGGACGGUAGCUCAGCCGGGAGAGCACACGGCUGAAGACCGUGGGGUCGUGGGUUCGAGUCCCACCCGUCCCA
rnacentral:tRNA from 1 species